GACGAACGCUGGCGGCGUGCCUAACACAUGCAAGUCGAACGGAAAGGCCCUGCUCUUGUUGGGUGCUCGAGUGGCGAACGGGUGAGUAAAACGUGAGUAACCUGCCCCUGACUUUGUGAUAACUUCAGGAAACUGGGGCUAAUAUCGGAUAUGAUCUCCUGCUGCACGGUGGGGGUUGGAAAGUUGCGGCUGUUGGGGAUUGACUCGCGGCUUAUCAGCUUGGUGGUGGGGUAGUGGCUUACCAAGGCUUUGACGGGUAGCCGGCCUGGGAGGGUGACCGGCCACCUGGGGACUGAGAUACGGCCCAGACGCGUACGGGAGGCAGCAGUGGGGAAUAUUGCACAAUGGGCGGAAGCCUGAUGCAGCAACGACGCGUGCGGGAUGCCGGCCUUCGGGUUGUAAACCGCUUUCGCAUGUGACGAAGAGUGAGUGACGGUAAUGGGUAAAGAAGCACCGGCUAACUACGUG
rnacentral:rRNA from 1 species